AUACGGAGGUGGCGAGCGUUAUUCGGAUUUACUGGGCGUAAAGGGUCCGUAGGGGGAUAUAUAAGUUUGAUGUGAAAUUUCGAGGCUCAACCUCGAACCUGCAUUGAAAACUGUGUAUCUAGAAUUCGGUAGAGGUAAGUGGAAUUUGUGGUGUAGCGGUGGAAUGCGUAGACAUCACAAGGAACAUCAAAGGCGAAAGCAGCUUACUGGGCCGAUAUUGACCCUGAGGGACGAAAGCUAAGGUAGCGAAAAGGAUUAGAAACCCUUGUAGUCC
rnacentral:rRNA from 1 species